rnacentral:rRNA from 1 species
UAGAGUUUGAUCCUGGCUCAGGACGAACGCUGGCGGCGUGCUUAACACAUGCAAGUCGAACGGUGAAGCGGGUGCUUGCACUCGUGGAUCAGUGGCGAACGGGUGAGUAACACGUGAGUAACCUGCCCUCCACUUUGGGAUAAGCGCUGGAAACGGCGUCUAAUACUGGAUACGACCGACCCUCGCAUGGGGUGUUGGUGGAAAGAUUUAUCGGUGGAGGAUGGACUCGCGGCCUAUCAGCUUGUUGGUGGGGUAAUGGCCUACCAAGGCGACGACGGGUAGCCGGCCUGAGAGGGCGACCGGCCACACUGGGAUUGAGACACGGCCCAGACUCCUACGGGAGGCAGCAGUGGGGAAUAUUGCACAAUGGGCGAAAGCCUGAUGCAGCGACGCCGCGUGAGGGAUGACGGCCUUCGGGUUGUAAACCUCUUUCAGCAGGGAAGA